CGGCUGGCAGCAGCUACACAUGCAAGUCGAGCGGAUGAGGGGUGCUUGCACUCUGAUUCAGCGGCGGACGGGUGAGUAAUGCCUAGGAAUCUGCCCGAUAGUGGGGGACAACGUUUCGAAAGGAACGCUAAUACCGCAUACGUCCUACGGGAGAAAGUGGGGGAUCUUCGGACCUCACGCUAUCGGAUGAGCCUAGGUCGGAUUAGCUAGUUGGUGAGGUAAUGGCUCACCAAGGCGACGAUCCGUAACUGGUCUGAGAGGAUGAUCAGUCACACUGGAACUCGAUGACACUGAAUGAUAUCUGUUUCUUACUUCGCUGUUGCAGUAGAUGCUAGUAUGGAACAAUGGGCGAAAGCCUGAUCCAGCCAUGCCGCGUGUGUGAAGAAGGUCUUCGGAUUGUAACACCCACAUUAAGUUGGGAGGAAGGGCUGUUAGACUCCUCCCCCUGCCUGUUUUGAUGUUACCAACAGAACGCGCCACCAUUUUUUUUACAGCUCGCUGCUCGUGAUACCAGGCUGGGGGUAUGUUUUAGUGUGAAUAAGUAGGAACAAAAGCGCGCCUACGUUUUUUGAGCACCCCCCAUAAAAAACCCCGGUGGAUCACACCGGGGGAGCGUGCUCCCCAAAAGGAGGGAGAUAGAGGGCGGUAGGGGGGGGGUAAAAUUUUCCUGGGCACCCCAAAAAAUGUGUAGAUAUUGGAAGGAACACGCAGUGGCGAGGGGCGACCACCCGGAUUGUUUCCCCACAGUGUGGUGCAAAAGGGGGGGGGAGCAAACAGGAUUAGAUCCCUUGGUACUCCACGCUGUAAACGAUGUUAACUAGUUUUUGGGUUCCCUGAGAAAUUCGUCCCCCCCGUUAACGCGAUAAGUUGACCGCCUGGGGGAGUACGGCCCCAAGGUUAAAACUCACAUGGAGUUGACGGGGGCCCGGCACAAGCGGUGGAGCAUGUGGUUUUAUUUCUAAGCAACACGAAGAACCAUUACCUGGCCUUGACAUGCUGAGAACUUUUCCAGAGAUGGAUUGGUGGCGGUGGGAAUUCAGACACAGGUGCUGCAUGGCUGGUCGUCAGCUCGUGUCGUGAGAUUGUUGGGUUAAGUUGCCGUUAACGAGCGCAACCCAUGGUCCUUAGUUACCAGCACGUUAUGGUGGGCACUCGUACGCAGACUGCACGGUGACCCACCCGGAGGAAGGUGGAGAUGACGUGAGUUCAUCAUGUGCCUCUCUACGGGCCAGGGCUACACACGUGCUACAAUGGUCGGUACAGAGGGUUGCCAAGCCGCGAGGUGGAGCUAAUCUCACAAAACCGAUCGUAGUCCGGAUCGCAGUCUGCAACUCGACUGCGUGAAGUCGGAAUCGCUAGUAAUCGUGAAUCAGAAUGUCACGGUGAAUACGUUCCCGGGCCUUGUACACACCGCCCGUCACACCAUGGGAGUGGGUUGCUCCAGAAGUAGCUUAGUCUAUACCUUCGGGGGGAUGGUACAUCGGAGGAUGAUGACCUCAG
rnacentral:rRNA from 1 species